ACGCGAGGAACCUUACCUGGGCUCAAAUGUAUGUUGACGUAUUCUGAAAGGGAUACUUCUUCGGACAAUAUACAAGGUGCUGCAUGGUUGUCGUCAGCUCGUGCCGUGAGGUGUCGGGUUAAGUCCCAUAACGAGCGCAACCCCUAUCAUUAGUUGCCAUCAGGUCAAGCUGGGGACUCUAAUGAAACUGCCUACGCAAGUAGUGAGGAAGGUGGGGAUGACGUCAAAUCAGCACGGCCCUUACGUCCAGGGCUACACACGUGCUACAAUGGCCGGUACAAAGGGCAGCUACCUGGUGACAGGAUGCUAAUCUCAAAAGCCGGUCUCAGUUCGGAUUGAAGUCUGCAACUCGACUUCAUGAAGCUGGAAUCGCUAGUAAUCGCAGAUCAGCCAAGCUGCGGUGAAUACGUUCCCGGGCCUU
rnacentral:rRNA from 1 species